rnacentral:rRNA from 1 species
GUGAUAUUCCCGUACACGAAAGGGCACACAUAAUGAUGACGAGUAGGGCGAGGCACGUGAAACCUUGUCUGAAUAUGGGGGGACCAUCCUCCAAGGCUAAAUACUCCUGACUGACCGAUAGUGAACCAGUACCGUGAGGGAAAGGCGAAAAGAACCCCUGUGAGGGGAGUGAAAUAGAUCCUGAAACCGCAUGCAUACAAGCAGUGGGAGCACCUUCGUGGUGUGACUGCGUACCUUUUGUAUAAUGGGUCAGCGACUUAUAUUCAGUAGCGAGGUUAACCGUAUAGGGGAGCCGUAGAGAAAUCGAGUCUUAAUAGGGCGUUUAGUUGCUGGGUAUAGACCCGAAACCAGGCGAUCUAUCCAUGAGCAGGUUGAAGGUUGGGUAACACUAACUGGAGGACCGAACCCACUGUCGUUGAAAAGCCAGGGGAUGACUUGUGGAUAGGGGUGAAAGGCUAAUCAAGCCUGGUGAUAGCUGGUUCUCCCCGAAAGCUAUUUAGGUAGCGCCUCGGACGAAUACCAUAGGGGGUAGAGCACUGUUUCGGCUAGGGGGUCAUCCCGACUUACCAAACCGAUGCAAACUCCGAAUACCUAUGAGUACUAUCCGGGAGACAGACUGCGGGUGCUAACGUCCGUAGUCAAGAGGAAAACAAUCCAGACCGCCAGCUAAGGCCCCAAAAUCAUAGUUAAGUGGGAAACGAUGUGGGAAGGCAUAGACAGCUAGGAGGUUGGCUUAGAAGCAGCCACCCUUUAAAGAAAGCGUAAUAGCUCACUAGUCGAGUCGGCCUGCGCGGAAGAUGUAACGGGGCUAAAACUAUGUGCCGAAGCUGCGGAUGUAUACUUUGUAUACGUGGUAGGGGAGCGUUCUGUAAGCCGAUGAAGGUGUGUUGAGAAGCAUGCUGGAGGUAUCAGAAGUGCGAAUGCUGACGUGAGUAACGACAAAACGGGUGAAAAACCCGUUCGCCGAAAGACCAAGGGUUCCAGUCCAACGUUAAUCGGGGCUGGGUGAGUCGACCCCUAAGGCGAGGCCGAAAGGCGUAGUCGAUGGGAAAAUGGUUAAUAUUCCAUUACUUCUGUGUAAUGCGAUGAGAGGACGGAGAAGGCUAAAUCAGCCUGGCGUUGGUUGUCCAGGUGAAAGGAUGUAGGCAUGUAUCUUAGGCAAAUCCGGGGUACUCUAUGCUGAGAUCUGAUAGCAAGCUGUACUUGUACAGCGAAGUGGUUGAUGCCAUGCUUCCAGGAAAAGUCUCUAAGCUUCAGUUACACAGGAAUCGUACCCGAAACCGACACAGGUGGUCAGGUCGAGUAGACCAAGGCGCUUGAGAGAACUCUGCUGAAGGAACUAGGCAAAAUGGUACCGUAACUUCGGGAGAAGGUACGCUGUUGUUGGUGAUGGAACUCGCUUCCUGAGCUGACGACAGCCGCAGAAACCAGGCCGCUGCAACUGUUUAUUAAAAACAUAGCACUCUGCAAACACGAAAGUGGACGUAUAGGGUGUGAUGCCUGCCCGGUGCUGGAAGGUUAAUUGAUGGGGUUAGCGUAAGCGAAGCUCUUGAUCGAAGCCCCAGUAAACGGCGGCCGUAACUAUAACGGUCCUAAGGUAGCGAAAUUCCUUGUCGGGUAAGUUCCGACCUGCACGAAUGGCAUAAUGAUGGCGGCGCUGUCUCCAGCAGAGGCUCAGUGAAAUCGAAAUCGCUGUGAAGAUGCAGUGUACCCGCGGCUAGACGGAAAGACCCCGUGAACCUUUACUGCAGCUUGACACUGAACUUUGACCUUACUUGUGUAGGAUAGGUGGGAGGCUUUGAAGCUGGAACGCUAGUUCCAGUGGAGCCGUCCUUGAAAUACCACCCUGGUAAUGUUGAGGUUCUAACUCUGUCCCGUGAUCCGGGACGAGGACCGUGUCUGGUGGGUAGUUUGACUGGGGCGGUCUCCUCCUAAAGAGUAACGGAGGAGUACGAAGGUGCGCUCAGCGUGGUCGGAAAUCACGCGUAGAGUAUAAAGGCAAAAGCGCGCUUAACUGCGAGACCCACAAGUCGAGCAGGUACGAAAGUAGGUCUUAGUGAUCCGGUGGUUCUGUAUGGAAGGGCCAUCGCUCAACGGAUAAAAGGUACUCUGGGGAUAACAGGCUGAUACCGCCCAAGAGUUCAUAUCGACGGCGGUGUUUGGCACCUCGAUGUCGGCUCAUCUCAUCCUGGGGCUGAAGCAGGUCCCAAGGGUAUGGCUGUUCGCCAUUUAAAGAGGUACGCGAGCUGGGUUUAGAACGUCGUGAGACAGUUCGGUCCCUAUCUACCGUGGGCGCUGGAAAUUUGAGAGGAUCUGCUCCUAGUACGAGAGGACCAGAGUGGACGAACCUCUGGUGUACCGGUUGUGACGCCAGUCGCAUCGCCGGGUAGCUAUGUUCGGAAGGGAUAACCGCUGAAAGCAUCUAAGCGGGAAGCCUACCUCAAGAUAAGAUUUCCCUAGGACUUUAUGUCCUCUAAAGAGCCGUUCGAGACUAGGACGUUGAUAGGUUGGAUGUGGAAGCAUAGUGAUAUGUGAAGCUGACCAAUACUAAUUGCUCGUGAGGCUUGACUAU